GGAGGUAGUGACAAUAAAUCACAAUGCGGGACUAUUUAGUUUUGCAAUUGAAUUGAGAACAAUGUACAAGAGUUAUCGAUAAACAAUUGGAGGGCAAGUCCGGUGCCAGCAGCCGCGGUAAUUCCAGCUCCAAUAGCGUAUAUUAACGUUGUUGCAGUUAAAAAGCUCGUAGUUGAAGUGUGGGAUAAUGUAUAUUGGAUCUUUUAGUGAAGGUAUAUGUUGUCCCCCCUCCAAUUUCGGUCUGUGGGUAUUCAUUUACUUGCAGUUCGUGUUGGUCAUUUACUGUGAGAAAAUUAGAGUGUUCAAAGCAGGCAUUUGCUUGAAUAUAUUAGCAUGGAAUAAUAUUAAAAGGCUUGUAUGGUCGAUUUAAUUGGUUUGUUCAUAUAAGCAAGAUUAAUAGGGACAGUUGGGGGUAUUCAUAUUCAAUAGUCAGAGGUGAAAUUCUCGGAUUUAUGGAAGAUGAACAAGUGCGAAAGCA
rnacentral:rRNA from 1 species